rnacentral:lncRNA from 1 species
CAGUUUGAUUAUGAUUUUAUAUUAUUUGUUUUGAUGUGCUUAAAUUUUUGCCAGUUGUUUUCUGAAUAUUUUCCUUAUAUUCCAGUUUUCUCAUUUGGAUAAUUUACACUUCCACCUGAGGAAUAGGUGUAUUAGUCCAUUCUUGCAUUGCUAUAAAGAACUACCUGAGACUGGGUAAUUUAUAAAGAAAAGAGGUUUAAUUGACUCACAGUUCUCCAGGCUGAACAGAAAGCAUGACUGAGGAAGCCUCAGUAAACUUACAAUUAUGGCAGAAGGUGAAGAGAAAGCAGACACCUCUUAACAUGCUGGAGAAGGAGGAAGAGAGAGAGAAGGGGGAAGUCCUACACUCUUUUAUAAACAACCAGAUCUCAUGAGAAUUCACUCACUAUUACAAGAACAGAAAGGUUCUUGGUUCAUGGUUCAAUCAGCUCCUACCAGGCUCCUCCUCCAACAUUGGGGAUUACAAUUCAACAUGAAAUUUCAGCAGAGACACUGACUCAAAUCAUAUCAGCAGAUGGGAGAAUAUUCUAAAUGAAUUAUUAACCCAGAAGAAUUUAAGAAAAUUUCAUUGCACCCAGGAGAGGAAAAAAAAAGAAUCCAUCCUCCUUCUUGGUGAAGGUGAGUGAUGGCCAGCAUCCCAACAUCCAAUAUGUGGUCAGAAAAUGUCUCUUCUGAAUUUGACAUAAAGUGUGUGUUCUUGCAGUCAACUACAAUGAAUAGCCUUUAAAACCCUUUUUCAAGCUUAGUAUUCUAUAAAUUAAUGAAUACCUACUAGACACUUGUAGGUGCACAAUAUUAGUAGAAACAGAGAAAUCCAACACAAUAAAAGAAGAAAAAUAAACCCAACAGAGAGAAGUAUUACAAAAUAAAACUUGUAUUAUGGAGUGAAAGGAAACAGAAAUAAUUCAGUAAUGGUUUGCACUUAUAUAAAAGCUAAUUACAUUUUAUGUACAUUAUAUUAAGUACAAUUUCAUGGAUCAGAAGGUUUUUUUUAAUAGUAACAAAUGUGUUAUGGGAGUUUAGAUGAAAAGAAAAACUUUGAGUGUAAUCAAACACUGGAAUAAACCUCUCCAAAUAUUGGUAGAAUGUCCAUCACUAGAGGUAUUUUUAAAAAGUUCAUGUCAGACUAGAAUAUGACUUCAGGAGGUUUCUACAUUUAAACAAAAAUUCAACAAAAUAAUUAUUAAUAAGCCAAUUAUUCCAGGGCUAUUGAAAAUGGUUAAAAAUAAACUUAUUUUAAAAAUAACAUUGGAAUAAUAAAAUUUAUUCACAGGAG